rnacentral:rRNA from 1 species
CUGGCGGGCGCGCUUAAUACAUGCAAGUCGAACGAGAAGCCAGAGCUUGCUCUGGUGGAAAGUGGCGAACGGGUGAGUAACACGUGAGAAACCUGCCCCAAAGAUUGGGAUAAGCCUUGGAAACGAGGUCUAAUACCAAAUACCUUCUUUUUAACACAUGUUAAAAAGAAGAAAUGCUCCGGCGCUUUGGGAUGGUCUCGCGAUCUAUCAGCUUGUUGGUGAGGUAACGGCUCACCAAGGCAUCGACGGAUAGCUGGUCUGAGAGGAUGUCCAGCCACAUUGGAACUGAGACACGGUCCAAACUCCUACGGGAGGCAGCAGUAGGGAAUCUUGCACAAUGAGGGAAACCUUGAUGCAGCGACGCCGCGUGCGGGACGAAGGCCCUAGGGUUGUAAACCGCUUUCAGUAGGGACGAAAGUGACGGUACCUACAGAAGAAGCCCCGGCCAACUAUGUG